UAAAAUAAACAUUUUAAAUUUAUUAAUUUUAUUUUUAAUUUCAUUAAAAUUAUUUUUUUUAAUAACUGAAAGGGCUAAUUUAUCUUAAAUUAAAAGAAAAAUUUAUGUACCUUUUGCAUUAGGGAUUUCUAAAAAAAAAAUAAAAACUUAUUUUUCUCGAAAUAUUUUGAUCUAAAAUUUAAUUUUUCCUUUAUAUUUCAAUAUUAAUUUAAAAUAAAUUUUAGAGGUGAAAUUCUUAUCAAAAAAUAUAAUACCUAGUUUUAAAAAAUUUAAUUAAAUAUUACUUUGUAAAAAAUUUUAAUUCUUAAAAUUACAAAGAAAAAAUUUUGGGAUAAGCUAAAAUUUAUUAAAUUUAUUUUUAAUGUGAAAAAAAUUAAAGGAUUAGUAUUUUCCUAUUUAUUUUUAUAAAUAAAUUUUUUUUUAAUAAGAAAUAAUUAAUUGUUCGAAAUUAAAUUUAAUUGAAAAUUUAAAUAAAAAUGGAAAUAUUAGUAAAAGUUAAAAUUUAAGUACUUUUUAACUAAAAAAUUAAAAUUAUUUAUAAUUUAAUUUUAAAGAACUAGGCAAAUAAUUUUUCUGACUGUUUACUAAAAACAACGCAUUUAGAAAAAUAAAUAAAUGUAAAUCCUGCUCAAUGAAAUUUUAAAUUGCUGUAGUAUUUUGACUAUACAAAGGUAUUGAAAUAAGAUUUUAAUUGAAUGCUAAGAGAAUGGAAUUUCAGAAAAUCUCUUUUUUAAGAUUAAAAAUUAAAAUUUUUUUAAUUUGUGCAAAAACAAUUAUAAAAAUUAAAGACAAGAAGACCCUAAGAAUUUAUUAAUUUUAAUAACACAAUUAUGUAAAAAUUAAAUUUUAGCUGGGGCGGCUAAGAAACAUUAAAAACUUUUUAAAUUUAAUAUGACCCAUUAUUAAUGAUACUAUGUUAAAUACUCUAGGGAUAACAGCGUUAUAUUUUUUGAUAGCUCAUAUUGACAAAAAAGUUUGCGACCUCGAUGUUGGAUUAGGAUACUUAUUUAAUGAAGAAGUUAAAAUAAGAAGUUUGUUCAACUUUUAAAAUCCUACAUGAUCUGAGUUUAGACCGAUGAGAAUCAGGUUGGAUUCUAUCUUAAUAAUAAAUGAAUUUAAAUUAGUACGAAAGGAAUAUUUAAAUCUAAUUAUUAGGAUAAACAGCUUUAUUUGCAUCAUUUUUUGUAAUU
rnacentral:rRNA from 1 species